rnacentral:rRNA from 1 species
CCUACGGGUGGCAGCAGUGGGGAAUAUUGGACAAUGGGGGCAACCCUGAUCCAGCCAUGCCGCGUGUGUGAAGAAGGCCCUCGGGUUGUAAAGCACUUUCAGUGAGGAAGAACGCCUGGUGGUUAAUACCCAUCAGGAAAGACAUCACUCACAGAAGAAGCACCGGCUAACUCCGUGCCAGCAGCCGCGGUAAUACGGAGGGUGCGAGCGUUAAUCGGAAUUACUGGGCGUAAAGCGCGCGUAGGUGGCUUGAUAAGCCGGUUGUGAAAGCCCCGGGCUCAACCUGGGAACGGCAUCCGGAACUGUCAAGCUAGAGUGCAGGAGAGGAAGGUAGAAUUCCCGGUGUAGCGGUGAAAUGCGUAGAGAUCGGGAGGAAUACCAGUGGCGAAGGCGGCCUUCUGGACUGACUCUGACACUGAGGUGCGAAAGCGUGGGUAGCAAACAGGAUUAGAUACCCCAGUAGUC